rnacentral:rRNA from 1 species
AACUAACGCUGGCGGCGUGCCUAACACAUGCAAGUCGUACGAGAAAGCCGGCUUCGGCUGGUGAGUAAAGUGGCGCACGGGUGAGUAACGCGUGGAUAAUCUGCCCUUAAGUGUGGAAUAACGUACCGAAAGGUGCGCUAAUACCGCAUAAUGCCUGGCAACACAAGUUGUCCGGCCAAAGAAGGCCUCUGUUUACAAGCUUUCGCUUCAGGAUGAGUCCGCGUACCAUUAGCUUGUUGGUGGGGUAAUGGCCUACCAAGGCUGCGAUGGUUAGCUGGUCUGAGAGGAUGAUCAGCCACACUGGAACUGAGACACGGUCCAUACUCCUACGGGAGGCAGCAGUGAGGAAUAUUGCGCAAUGGGGGCAACCCUGACGCAGCAACGCCGCGUGAGUGAGGAAGGUUUUCGGACUGUAAAGCUCUGUCGAGCGGGAAGAAGUGUACCAUGGCUAAUAUCCAUGAUAUUUGACGGUACCGCUAGAGG